rnacentral:rRNA from 1 species
UGGGGAAUUUUGGACAAUGGGCGAAAGCCUGAUCCAGCAAUGCCGCGUGUGUGAAGAAGGCCUUCGGGUUGUAAAGCACUUUUGUCCGGAAAGAAAUCCUUGGCUCUAAUACAGUCGGGGGAUGACGGUACCGGAAGAAUAAGCACCGGCUAACUACGUGCCAGCAGCCGCGGUAAUACGUAGGGUGCAAGCGUUAAUCGGAAUUACUGGGCGUAAAGCGUGCGCAGGCGGUUUGCUAAGACCGGUGUGAAAUCCCCGGGCUCAACCUGGGAACUGCAUUGGUGACUGGCAGGCUAGAGUAUGGCAGAGGGGGGUAGAAUUCCACGUGUGAGCAGUGAAAUGCGUGGAGAUGUGGAGGAAUACCGAUGGCGAAGGCAGCCCCCUGGGCCAAUACUGACGCUCAUGCACGAAAGCGU